CGAUUGGUUUCUGGGGAGCAGAGGUGCGGGCGCUCUGAGAUAGGGGUGGGGGCAGGGGGUUCCACCACGAGCCACCGGCCUGUAAAUGGAGUCAGGGGGUCCGGAAUCGUAGAGGGGAGAGAGGCAGAGAACAAGCACCGGUCAAUCCAGAACCGAUCGGGGUACCCGGAAACGUCACCCAAGGGAGGCCGGCACGCGGAAGGAAAAGGCGGAGGAGAUAUCGCGGGGUCAAGCCGAGAUCAGGUUGCGCCAGCUGCCGCCCCUGCGCAUGUGCCGCAAACUGAGCGCGCGAGAAUCGAGCGUGAGCGCCGGGCUGAGCAUGCGCAGAUGGAGGUGGUUGGCCUCAACACGCGUGCGGAUUACGGAGGGAAGAUGCAGAAAAUGAGUCUGCAGGAGAAGAAGGGCCUUACUGAAGUCCCCAAAGCCAGGAAGCAUCAGGGCCUGGAUUCAAACCCAAGCUCGUCUCACUCUAGGGUGAGCCCACAUUUUUUCCCUGGCAACAGGCAACCUGCCUAGCGCAGUUGUCCCACACAACAGAAAAGCUCAAAACGAGACUUGGGAGUGCGGUCUGGUGUUGAUGUAGAGGAUAUGGCAUCUUUUACGGACCGUCAUAAUGAACUGGACCAGUGCCGGCGAUGUUUGUUCUCCAUGGAGGCGGCAAUACUGACGAUGUUUGUUCUACAGGAGAGGCGUGGGCAGUUAAAACAGAAUCCUUGGGGAGGAAGAGGAGCCCCCUGACACUAUGAUUUAUAAUAAGUAUGUAUGUGGUUUUUGUCCCCAGUCUGGCAGAGCGCUCCUUAAAACCCCUGGAGAACUUCCUCUGAUGAGACCAAUAAUGGUAUCUUUUGUUAUGUUAAUGAGGUGGCUUUGGAAAGCACCUAGGCAACCUAAGGAUAGGGGCUGGGUGCCAGGGUCCCAUCCCUCAGACUCCUGGGAGGGGAAGGGGGUUGGAGGUUGAAUCAAUCACCAGUAGUCAAUGAUUUACUUAAACAUAAUCAUGUAACGAAGCCUCCAUAAAAAAACCCAAAAGGACAGGGCUUGGUGAGCUUCCAGAUGGGUGGAAGAUUUGGGGGGUGCCCUAGGUGGGUGUGGAAGCUCCCUGCCCCUUCCCCAUAUCUUGCCCUCUGCAUCUCUUGCAUCCAGCUGUCCCUGAGUUACAUCCUUUUAUAAUAAACCAGUGAUCUAGUCAGUAAAACGCAUCUCUGAAUUUUGUGAGCCACUCAUCAAACCCAAGGAAGGGGCUGUUGGAUCUGUAGCCAGUUGGUCAGAAGCACAGUUGACAGCCUGGACUUGAAAUCGGCGUCUGAAGGGGUGGGGGUGGGGGGCAGUCUUGUAGGACAGCACUCUUAACCUGUGGAAUCUGAUGCUGUCUCUUCACAGACAGUGUCAGGAUUGAGUUGAAUUGUGGUGUCUGAGAAUUGCUUGGUGUGGAUGAGAUAAAACUUCACGGGCUGGAACUGGAUGCAGAAUCUUUAGCAGCCAGAACAGGGAGGGGCUGGGGAGGCUGGAGGUUGGGGCGGGGGAGAGCCUGAAGAGCCUGUGGGGUAUUAACCCCAUCCUGUAGUGGAGAAGAAUGCAUACCUGGCUGGCACCAAGAAGCAGGUGCACACCAGGGCAUGCAGCAUGGUUCCUUGCAGAGUUCAAAGUUGGGCAAAAGGGUUCAAGAUGGGAGGGACAUGGGAGUUUUUAGGGGGAUGGAAACUUCAAGCUUGAGCUGAGUGGUCGCUGCUUGGGUGAAUGCAUUUGUAAAAAUCCAUUGAGGCUUCUUUUAAAACUAGUGUCCUGGAGUUCCCAUUGUGGCUCAGCAGUAAUGAACUUGACUAGUAUCCACGAGAAUGUGGGUUUGAUCCCUGGCUUUGCUCAGUAGG